rnacentral:rRNA from 1 species
GAUGAACGCUGGCGGCGUGCCUAAUACAUGCAAGUCGAGCGAACAGAUAAGGAGCUUGCUCCUUUGACGUUAGCGGCGGACGGGUGAGUAACACGUGGGUAACCUACCUAUAAGACUGGAAUAACUCCGGGAAACCGGGGCUAAUGCCGGAUAACAUUUAGAACCGCAUGGUUCUAAAGUGAAAGAUGGUUUUGCUAUCACUUAUAGAUGGACCCGCGCCGUAUUAGCUAGUUGGUAAGGUAACGGCUUACCAAGGCAACGAUACGUAGCCGACCUGAGAGGGUGAUCGCCCCCCCGGGAACGGGGACACGGUCCAGCCUCCUACGGGAGGCAGCAGUGGGGAAUCUUCCGCAAUGGGCGAAAGCCUGACGGAGCAACGCCGCGUGAGGGAUGAAGGUCUUCGGAUCGUAAAACGCUGUUAUUAGGGAAAAAAAAAUGUGUAAGUAACUGUGCCAGUUUUGACGGUACCUAAUAAAAAAGCCCCGGCUAACUCCGG